AUGGAGGAGCUCAAGAUGGAGAACACAGUGUUGGAGGCCAGAAUGAACGCCAGUGAAAACGAGGUGGAGCAGCUGAAGAUAGAGAGUGCAGAUAUGAUGGC